rnacentral:rRNA from 1 species
UACGGGAGGCAGCAGUGGGGAAUAUUGGACAAUGGGCGCAAGCCUGAUCCAGCCAUGCCGCGUGUGUGAAGAAGGCCUUUUGGUUGUAAAGCACUUUAAGCGAGGAGGAGGCUCUCUUAGUUAAUACCUAAGAUGAGUGGACGUUACUCGCAGAAUAAGCACCGGCUAACUCUGUGCCAGCAGCCGCGGUAAUACAGAGGGUGCGAGCGUUAAUCGGAUUUUACUGGGCGUAAAGCGUGCGUAGGCGGCUUUUUUAAGUCGGAUGUGAAAUCCCCGAGCUUAACUUGGGAAUUGCAUUCGAUACUGGGAAGCUAGAGUAUGGGAGAGGAUGGUAGAAUUCCAGGUGUAGCGGUGAAAUGCGUAGAGAUCUGGAGGAAUACCGAUGGGCGAAGGGCAGCCAUCUGGGCCUAAUACUGACGCUGAGGUACGAAAGCAUGGGGAGGCAAACAGGAUUAGAUAACC